UGUCUCUUAGGUUUCAAAUGACGCUUUAAAAUAGCUUGUGUCUUAGUUCAUCUACAGAUGGGCUGUUCGGCAAGACCUGUAGUUGGAAGUUUGCGAGAGAAGAUUCCACAAUGAAGCCUGAUUUUAUACUCUGUGGCUUGGCUAAAGUAUCAGAAAGCUUCCUAAAUAAGACACUUUGGAGACGAUCCAAAAACCCGUCGGCCAUGGGAACACAGCACAGCGGAUCAAUGAGGCUGACGUUUUGGAGUCAGCGGCCUUCUGCCUGGAUCCUAGCAGUGGUCAAUCCUGGCUGGUUUCUCCUUGUUCCUCAUUUGGGCACAGUGACUCCAUACCAUCUGCCAGCGAAUUUACUGACUGUCAGUGAAAUUGAGAAAAAAAAAAA